rnacentral:rRNA from 1 species
AUGGUGAGCUGGCCCGAUAUUUGCAAACCCAAGGACCAGGGCGGUCUUGGGAUUUUGUCCUCCCGGCGAAUGAACAUUGCUCUCCUGACCCGUUGGCUCUGGCGCAUUGCUAAUGGCGAUGGAGGCCUUUGUCUCACCAUCAUCCGGAACAAGUACCUUCGGGGCCAGCCACUCGCAUUCUGUCAACGCUCUGGCGGCUCCCAGUUUUGGCAGGCUGUCAUCUAG